CCCUUAGAUGUUCUGGGCCGCACGCGUGCUACACUGAGUGGAUCAGCGGGUCAGGUUGCGCGAAAGCGUUUCCUAAUCUUUAAAUCCGCUCGUGAUGGGGAUUGACGGUUGCAAUUUUCUGUCAUGAACGAGGAAUACCUUGUAAGCGCGGGUCAUCAUCCCGCGCUGAAUACGUCCCUGCCCUUUGUACACACCGCCCGUCGCUCCUACCGAUUGGGUGUGCUGGUGAAAUGUUCGGAUCGGCCGUUUGUCGCGGUUUCCGCGUCAUGUGGCUGAGAAGUUCAUUAAACCCUCCCACCUAGAGGAAGGAGAAGUCGUAACAAG
rnacentral:rRNA from 1 species